AAGGAAGUCAGGUAAGCUGCUUUUGUGGUUCUAAAAAAGGCUUGCAUCCUUAAGGGUUCCUGGUUGCCCUCCCCCAAGAAGGAGUGUUCAAAGAGUUUAAUUAACAUCAUGUUUCAGAACUUGGCCCUUUAAGUCACACUGUCUUGGGUUUGCAUCUCAGCACUUCAGCUCCCAACUUGGCUUAUGACCUAUCUGCACCUCAGUUUCCUCCUAAUAGUACCUACUUCAUAAGAAUGUUGUAAGGAUCAAAUGAGAUAAUGCACUUACAGCAUUUAUCAUAACGCCUGGCACAACGUGACCACCCAGUAAAUGAAACUGUUCUUCAUCUUCUUCUAGAAACAGGCUGAACCAUGGAAUUGGUGCCCCAGAAUGGGAAGAACUGUUAGUGUUUCCUGAUGAUCCUCCGUCUCUCUAAAUUGAAACAUACGGACCAUCUCAUCUGUCUGGACUUUUUCUGGCCCCAUCACUUCUGUGGAAUGGAAAUUAGCAAGAGCAGCCAAGACACCAGGUAUGCAUGUGGGGGCAUGGAAUUGUUGGGGAGGUGUGGAGACAUUGGGGUAGCUGAAGCCAAUGUCAAGGCCCUCCCAAGGUGAGAAUCUGGCAAGAACACAUGCAUGAUGAUCAGCUGCCCUAAGGCAUUUGCUUCCUCAUUCCCAUACCCUCAAUGACAGUGGAUUGCAACCUAAGAAGUUUAUCUCCUCUUGGCGAUAAUCUGCUUCUUUCCAAGAAUUUAAGGGAGACUCUUUGGAUGGAGGUAGUGCCUGCUGAAGAAACUGGGAAAGGAGUUGAUCUGCAGGUUCUGUGAUGUGUGAUGCUAUCAUUCCUAGAGAACUCCCCCAGCCUCCACAGAUAGUCCUAAGGACCAAUAUCACACAGACUAUGCUCUGACUGCAAUGCAAUUGGGCUAGAAAUAAAUUACAAAAGAAUGAUUGUCUAGAGACAGUUCUCCAUGGUCUCUCAUGUUUAUGUUUGUCUUCUGAACAGACGCAUUGUCGGCUUUGGACUGCUUUUUCAAGGAUGUUUAUAUAGCAAACAGCUGAGGAAAAUAAAUAUAGUAUCUCCCUCUAUGACAGGGGGCAGGUUUGUUUGCUGUCAAGUAAAAUGAAGAUAAUAUCUCCCUGUGGGACAAAGAUUGGAUAGGUUGGCUUAUCCUAAUCUUAGGGGGUUGACUGAAGCCCAUUCCAGGUGCAGCAUCCUCCUGGACCCAGUUUGCGUCACUCUUGCAGGACUUAUGAAGCAAGGGGAACCAGUGAAAAAAUAAAGUCAUUAAGUCCAGGAGUCUCAUGUCUUCUACCUGUGUUUUUGAAAUUGUGACUGGCUACCUUGUUGUUUACAAGUAGGAAAAUUCAAGACUUCACAGUUCUUGAUAAUAACGUUUAAAAAUCCUUUAAGUCUGAUAUGAAAUUGCAUAUAACUAAAUACUCUUUAAAUUAAAAAGGAAUUUGUGAAGAUAAUAUAGAAAGCAGAAUAAACUGAAAGUAUUUUAAGCCAAAAUGCAUGAACAUAGCUAAAAUAGUAUUUGGAGGGAAAUUUAUAGAUUUAAAUAAAUAUUUUGGGAAUCAAGAAAGAUUGAAAACUAAUGAGUUAAGUAUUUAGUUCAAGAAGAAGGAAACUUUGCUCUAAUUUCAUUAGAGCAAAAGUAAAGAAAUCAAAAAGAAAGAAAUAUUAAAGGCAGAAAUCAAAGUAAAGAAUAAAACAAUAAUAAUACAAGAUAUAAUAAUAGCAACAGCAACAAUAAUGAAGGUCAGUAAAAUUAAAGGCAAAUCUUUAAUACUUUUUGAAAAAAUAAACAAGGUGGUCUGGGAGGACUGGUCAAAAAUAGAGAUCAUUUAAAACAAAAUGCAGAAUGAUAAAAAGGGGAAAAUGCAGAUGUAGAAGAACUUUAAAAAUAAUAAGAAUAUUGUGAAAACUAUAGUCUAAUAUAUUUGAAACUGUAGGUAUAGUAGAUUUUACUCUACAAUAAUAAUAAUGUUUAAAUUACUCAACAGCAGGUAGAGGUUGGUGGUGGCUAAUCAGGAUGAGCAUGUGCCAGUCAGAAAGGGUGCUGCCUAGAUGCCAGAGUGGUGUGUCCUGCCUGAACAACAGCUCUGCAUUUCUGAGAUGAAAAUUAAAUUUGCGUUUGUCCUGAGGAGAAAUAUGAAUAUCAAACAGGCCAGUAAGCACUUAAGAAGCAAAGUGGGUAUUAAAGCUUUUACUUUCCAAAAAGCUACAGCCCAGAAAGUGUUUUAUUUAUUCAUUUUUUUUUUUUGUCUUUUUACCAUUUCUUGGGCCAUUCCCACGGCAUAUGGAGGUUCCCAGGCUAGGGGUCGAAUCGGACUGUAGCCACUGGCCUACACCAGAGCCACAGCAACAUGGGAUUCGAGCCACGUCUCGACUUACACCACAGCUCACGGCAACGCCGGAUCCUUAACCCACUGAGCAAGGCCAGGGAUCAAACCUGCAACCUCAUGGUUCCUAGUCAGAUUCGUUAACCACUGAGCCAUGACGGAACUCCCCAGAAAGUGUUUUAGAUGAAAGCUUUACAAACUUUUAAGGAACGGGUAAUUCUCUACUUUAUAUUUUUUCAAUGGUAUCAAAAUCCAUAGGUUUUGGGAGGGAAAAAUGUUAGAUAUUAAAAUAGUGUGUGGGCCUCCAAGGGGGUCACAGUACAUAAACAGAUAUAAGUGUCUCUGUGGUAUUAAAACUUCAUGGUGGGGGAUGAGGAAAAAACAUCUAAAAAGGCUCCAGAGAGAGGGGGAGAUGCUAAUGAAAAAAAAUAUAUAUUAAGGAACACUCCCUAAUUUUAGUCAAGAAAAUAGAAAAAGAGCAAAAAUUUCCCAGAUCAUUAUAACAUUUUAAAAGUCUAGUAUAACUGAAUCCACAACUGCAUAAGAAGAACACAUAUACACGCACACAUUUACAUACACAUAUGCAUUUUUAUUCUUAAGUGAAUUGUGCCUCUGUAGAUACAUAGAGUCAUGUUCAGUUAUGAAAAUGAGUUCAAAAAUCCUCCAUAAAUAUUCAUUAAAUGAAUCCAACAACAGUAUUAAAAAUAUAUCUCAAAACCAGGUUUACCCUCCUGCCUUAAACAAUGAGAAAAACGAGAUAGACUAUGUGGAACAACUGUUUUAAGAUAUAAAAUGGCAGGAAGGUCAAGACCGUGAUUCUGGAGCAAAGGGAAAGCAAUGAGAUGAGUCCUGCCAUCACUGUAGCUUUCUGCCUGGAGGUACAUUCUGAAUAGCAGAGUGUAUAGGGAGUUCUCCAGCAGAACACAGUGUUCUCUCUGAGUUGAGGAGCCCAGAUUGGAGUUCUGGGAGUCUGAGGUAGCUAGAAGCUCUGGAGGCAGAGUUCCAGGGAAGAGAGAACUGAAUAAAAACAUCUCAGUCUUUGGUUAACAAUAGAAUGUGUAGACACAGAGUGAAACUCUUUUAUAUACAUUCAGGUACAUAUAUACAUUUAUAUACAUAUGUGUAAAUAGACUUAUACUAAAAAAUACACUAAAAUAACCCUGAUCAAAUUAAAGCUGAAGUGGCUAUGCUAAUAAGAUAGACUGAAUUAGAGCUGUUUACUGUAUUACCCUAAAGCAACUACUACAUAAAAAACAAAAGAGUUAUAACUAGUAAGUCCCCGAAGGACAAAAAAUAGGUUCAUAAAAAUAUUCAAUUAAUCCAAAAAGAGUCAAUAAAAUAGGAAAAGAGUUCAUAAAUGAAGAUGGAACAAAUAGAAAUCAAACAGUAAGGUAGAAGCAUAUGAUUUAUCACAUAAAGUACAAAUGGUAUAAACACCAGAUUAAAAGCAGAGAUUGUCAGAUUGGGCAAUAAAGUAAUAUCUAACUAUAUGCUGCCUCUAAGCAAUUCACUUUAAAUAUAAAGACACAAGCAGUUAAAAAGAAAAAAAUGGAAAAAAUACACUAAAAUAACCCUGAUCAAAUUAAAGCUGAAGUGGCUAUGCUAAUAUCAGACAAAGUAGAAUUCAUUGCAAAUAAUCUUUCUUAGUAAGGAUAAAGAAGGUAAUUUCAUCAUGAUAAAAGGGUCAUUUCACUAAAGGACAUAGCAAUUAAUGUUUUUGCACCAAGUAACAGAGGAUCAAAAUACAUCAAGUGAAAAACCAAUGGACCUGAAAGGAUAAAUUGGCAACUUUACAGUUACAUUCAGAGAUUUCAGUGUCCUCUUUUAAUAAUUAAUAGAACAAGUAGAACAAGUAGAAAAUCUGUUUGGGCAUAGAAGACUUGAAAAAUACAAUAUACCAUAACCCCAAACUUUAUGUAUUUAUAUUUAUAGAACAUUUCACCCAACAACUCCAUAAUGCACAUUCUUUUCAAGUGCCCAUGGAGUAUUGAAUAAGACAAUAUUCUGGGAUGUAAAACCUCUAUAAACUGAAAACAAUUCAACUCAUGCAAAAUAUGUUCUCUGACUACAAUGGAAUUAAACUAGAAGACAAGAGAAAAAUACCAGAAAA
rnacentral:lncRNA from 1 species